rnacentral:rRNA from 1 species
AGCGAACGCUGGCGGCAGGCUUAACACAUGCAAGUCGAGCGGGCAUCUUCGGAUGUCAGCGGCAGACGGGUGAGUAACACGUGGGAACGUACCCUUCGGUUCGGAACAACUCUGGGAAACUGGAGCUAAUACCGGAUACGCCCUUAUGGGGAAAGGUUUACUGCCGAAGGAUCGGCCCGCGUCUGAUUAGCUUGUUGGUGGGGUAACGGCCUACCAAGGCGACGAUCAGUAGCUGGUCUGAGAGGAUGAUCAGCCACACUGGGACUGAGACACGGCCCAGACUCCUACGGGAGGCAGCAGUGGGGAAUAUUGGACAAUGGGCGCAAGCCUGAUCCAGCCAUGCCGCGUGAGUGAUGAAGGCCUUAGGGUUGUAAAGCUCUUUUGUCCGGGACGAUAAUGACGGUACCGGAAGAAUAAGCCCCGGCUAACUUCGUG